UUACUUCUCAUUGGAGCAGUUUCAUAUGGAAAACAAUUUCACUGAACUGUUCUUUCUUGUAAGUGCAUCUUGUAACCUAAUUUCUAUUAUCCUAGAAUCUAAAAUGUGGAUUUGCUAAAUGAUUACUGAUUUGAACGUGUAACAAGAAAUUCUUCAUGGUUCUUAAUGAUUUAAAUAAAAUUUGAUAGCACGAUAAUUCUAUCUCUUAUCAUAUACUAAGAUAAGGAAUAAUUUUAUUUUAUCUUAUUAUAAUUCUCUCUGAUAUCUAACAAGGAAUACUUUGUGCUCCUCAGUUUCAAUCAAAUUUUGUUAAGAAAAAUAUACAAAUAUAAAAUUGUAAAAGACUGUAUAUAUAUAUACGAGAAGUGAGUUAACAUCUUCAAGAGCAAUUUUUCGAUUCAAAUAGACACGUCAAAAGUUAUAUGAAAUAGAAGAAUCACGAGAGAAAUAAAUUUUUCGAAAGUUUAAUAACAUUCUGAACAAACUUGCAAGACUAUAAUGGUCUUUGCAAAGAUUUUGUGUAUGUAUUAUACUUCGAGGUAAAGUAUAAAAUAAAAAUGUAUAUAAAUAUUUCAACGUUUUUGCUUCUUUCUACUUGUUCUUUUUUUCACG